GAUGAAGAACGCAGCGAAAUGCGAUACGUAAUGUGAAUUGCAGAAUUCAGUGAAUCAUCGAGUCUUUGAACGCACAUUGCGCCCCCUGGUAUUCCGGGGGGCAUGCCUGUCCGAGCGUCAUUGCUGCCCUCAAGCACGGCUUGUGUGUUGGGCCUCCGUCCUCCUCCCGGGGGACGGGCCCGAAAGGCAGCGGCGGCACCGCGUCCGGUCCUCGAGCGUAUGGGGCUUCGUCACCCGCUCUUGUAGGCCCGGCCGGCGCUUGCCGACACAUCAAUCUUUUUUCCAGGUUGACCUCGGAUCAGGUAGGGAUAACCGCUGAACUUAAGCAUAUCAAUAAGCGGAGGA
rnacentral:misc_RNA from 1 species